GUGCGCAUUUUCUUCCCAUAUGAUGCCCAUGUCCAUGCCUUUUGGGCUUGUUGUAGGUGCGCAUUCCAAGUAUACAUGACUGUAUUACACAUAGCUCUUCUUGUCGUGGGGCUAUGAUGUGCGUAGCUCACUGUCGUGCAACUUGUGUCUGCAUGCUCUUCUGGCAUGCGAGCUUUCAGUGUGCGCGGCACAUACGCGUUCUUUGCGCAUGUGCAGCACUCAAGUGUACAGUCUUCUUGUGCUCUUACUACUUGUGCUGUAGGGCUUGUCUAGGGGCUCUUUACUAGUGCGACUUGGCUCUGCAAGUGUGUGAAGUGUCUAAAAACCUCCAAUCGAUGAUGGUUAGAUGCUAGUUGUCAAUGGGUCCCCUAGUGAUGUCGCU
rnacentral:lncRNA from 1 species